GACCACCGAGAACUGCCGCUGUCCUGUCUGACUCCUCCUGUUUUGGUACUAGACCCCAGAUGAGGAUCUCAGGAAGAUCCACAAAGCUGCGUCCAGGGGAACGAACGUGUGGAAGCUGCAGCGGAGCCUCCUGCUCAAGAGUAAAGGACCGGUCUGAAACCUACAAGAACAGGACACAUAUUGCUUGUCUCUGAACUUCUCAGCUGCCUGCAGAUCUUCCUGUUUUUCAGCUGCAGUUAGGGUUUGUCUGAGGAGAAGCAUAACAUCCCUCCAGGCCAAAUGCUCCACAAAUAAAUGUGUUGAAUGAAUGAACAAAUGAAUAAGCGAAGUGAAUGGAACAUCAAACUGCAUAAAAAUAUAUUUAUUCAUAAAUGAGAGGUGAUGAUUGCCAACAUAUCAUAAUCAGACUCUGACCUUGGUUACUUAUGAGUUUGACAACGAAGAGGAAAGAGGAUCAGGGUCGGCUUUGUUGCCCACUUGGAGUGUAGUGGCACAACCUUGGCUCACUGCAACCUUCUCCUGAAGUACAUAUUAGCUCACCUGGGCUCAAGUGAUCCUCCCACCUCAGUCUUUUGAGUAUCUGGGAUUAUUGGCAUGUGCCACCAAGCCUUGCUAAUUUUUGUAUUUUUUGUAGACACAGGAUUUUGCCACGUUGGCCAGAUUUGUCUUGAACUCCUAAGCUCCAGUGAUCCACCCACCUUGGCCUCCCAAAGUGCUAGGAUUACACGUGUCACCAUCGUGGCCAACCAGCAAGCUCUCUUUUAAUGAUUCAGAGUCUCAGGCCAUAGCAGUAUAAGUAUCAAAACAUCUAUUCCCAACUUGGAGUUGAGAUUUCUAAUACGAAUUCUAUUUUCUCCAUAAUCAUAAAAUAGCAUCAGGAAAAGUCUCUUGACAUCUUAAAAUACAUAUCACUGGAAAGUAGAUCUUUUUGUCCUUCAGAUAAACAUACUGUAAAAUUUGAAAUGAAAAUUAUUCUUUGUACCACCAUUCUGAUUUUACCCAGGGUUAACACAAAAGUUAUAGCAGUACAUGAAGCUCUGAGGCUUCAAUGGGUGUAGAUAUAGACAUCCAAACCUAUAAUUUUACAUUAAUCAGAAUACUAUUCAUAUAAAUCACAAAUGGCAAAACCAUUUCUGAAGGUAUUUGGUUUUAUAGAUUAUAAAAUUAAACUUCCUUAUAAUUGUGUCCAAACUGAAAUAUGCUUCCUGUACAAAAAAGCUUUCUUCUAACAGUAAAGGCCUCCUCCCAACCCACCCGACACAUACACACACACACACACACACACACACACACACACACACACACGAAGAGAGAGAGAGAAUUUAGAGCACUGAUCUUUUCUCUCUUAGACUAAUUAUUUUAACAUUAUUUUCAGCCACUUUAUUAAUUGUGGGGUUAAGGGUAGGAUAGAUCUAAUGCCCAUUUCACAUGUGUUGCAACAUCAGAGAUUAUGGUUUUCAUUAAAAACAUCAGAGCUAAAUUCCUUUUCAAAAAAGACAUUGUUACUGUUAGUACCUUGGGGAAUGUUGUAGUCUUAUGAAUGCUGAUACGUUUAUUUGAGCCAAUUGAAUAUUAUCUCUAAUAUAAACUAUAAUUUACUGUGUGAUUCCUCUUCCUGUUUUACCUAUAUAUACUCAAAGUGAAUGAUUGUGUUUAGUGAACAUUUCUUUAGGUAAUAAAAAUUAAUUUCAUUUAAGAAAGAAGUACAAAAUAGUUAUUAGAGCAAACUUUGGUAUUUGUAAUUUUGAAGUUACAUACUUUUGAAAUAAACUUGGGCUUUCAUGCCAUGUUGGGUUUGAGGAAGAU
ensembl:lncRNA LINC01606 long intergenic non-protein coding RNA 1606